UACGUAGGCAGCAAGCGUUGUUCGGAAUUACUGGGCGUAAAGCGUGUUCAGGCGGCCUGGCAAGUCGGGCAUGAAAUCUCUCGGCUCAACCGGGAGAGGCUGUCCGAUACUGCUGGGCUUGAGGACGGUAGAGGGUGGUGGAAUUCCGCGUGUAGUGGUGAAAUGCGUAGAUAUGCGGAGGAACACCAGUGGCGAAGGCGGCCACCUGGACCGUCCCUGACGCUCAAACACGAAAGCUAGGGUAGCGAACGGG
rnacentral:rRNA from 1 species